rnacentral:rRNA from 1 species
UACAGAGGGUGCGAGCGUUAAUCGGAAUUACUGGGCGUAAAGCGCACGUAGUCGGCUUUGCAAGUCGGGUGUGAAAUCCCCGGGCUCAACCUGGGAACUGCAUUUGUGACUGCAUGGCUGGAGUGCGGCAGAGGGGGAUGGAAUUCCGCGUGUAGCAGUGAAAUGCGUAGAUAUGCGGAGGAACACCGAUGGCGAAGGCAAUCCCCUGGGCCUGCACUGACGCUCAUGCACGAAAGCGUGGGGAGCAAACAGG